UACAGAGGUCUCAAGCGUUGUUCGGAUUCAUUGGGCGUAAAGGGUGCGUAGGCGGCGCGGUAAGUCGGGUGUGAAAUCUCGGAGCUUAACUCCGAAACUGCAUUCGAUACUGCCGUGCUUGAGGACUGGAGAGGAGACUGGAAUUUACGGUGUAGCGGUGAAAUGCGUAGAUAUCGUAAGGAAGACCAGUGGCGAAGGCGGGUUGCUGGGCUGACACUGACGCUGAGGCGCGAAAGCUAGGGGAGCAAACGGG
rnacentral:rRNA from 1 species